UACGUAGGGUGCAAGCGUUGUCCGGAAUUAUUGGGCGUAAAGAGCUUGUAGGCGGUUUGUCGCGUCUGCUGUGAAAUUUCGGGGCUCAACCCCGAACUUGCAGUGGGUACGGGCAGACUAGAGUGUGGUAGGGGAGACUGGAAUUCCUGGUGUAGCGGUGAAAUGCGCAGAUAUCAGGAGGAACACCGAUGGCGAAGGCAGGUCUCUGGGCCACUACUGACGCUGAGGCAUGAAAGCGUGGGGAGCAAACAGG
rnacentral:rRNA from 1 species